AUGAACGCUGGCGGCGUGCCUAAUACAUGCAAGUCGAGCGAACAGACGAGGAGCUUGCUCCUCUGACGUUAGCGGCGGACGGGUGAGUAACACGUGGAUAACCUACCUAUAAGACUGGGAUAACUUCGGGAAACCGGAGCUAAUACCGGAUAAUAUAUUGAACCGCAUGGUUCAAUAGUGAAAGACGGUUUUGCUGUCACUUAUAGAUGGAUCCGCGCCGCAUUAGCUAGUUGGUAAGGUAACGGCUUACCAAGGCGACGAUGCGUAGCCGACCUGAGAGGGUGAUCGGCCACACGGGAACUGAGACACGGUCCAGACUCCUACGGGAGGCAGCAGUAGGGAAUCUUCCGCAAUGGGCGAAAGCCUGACGGAGCAACGCCGCGUGAGUGAUGAAGGUCUUCGGAUCGUAAAACUCUGUUAUUAGGGAAGAACAAAUGUGUAAGUAACUAUGCACGUCUUGACGGUACCUAAUCAGAAAGCCACGGCUAACUACGUG
rnacentral:rRNA from 1 species